GAUGAACGCUAGCGGCAGGCUUAAUACAUGCAAGUCGAGGGGCAGCAUGAAUGUAGCAAUACAUUUGAUGGCGACCGGCAAACGGGUGCGGAACACGUACACAACCUUCCUAUAAGUGGGGAAUAGCCCAGAGAAAUUUGGAUUAAUACCCCGUAACAUAUAGAGUAGGCAUCUUCUUUAUAUUAUAGCUUCGGCGCUUAUUGAUGGGUGUGCGUCUGAUUAGGUAGUUGGCGGGGUAACGGCCCACCAAGCCUACGAUCAGUAGCUGAUGUGAGAGCAUGAUCAGCCACACGGGCACUGAGGCACGGGCCCGACUCCUACGGGAGGCAGCAGUAAGGAAUAUUGGACAAUGGGCGAAAGCCUGAUCCAGCCAUGCCGCGUGAAGGAUUAAGGUCCUCUGGAUUGUAAACUUCUUUUAUUUGGGACGAAAAAAGGGAAUUCUUUCCCACUUGACGGUACCAAGUGAAUAAGCACCGGCUAACUCCGUGCCAGCCGCCGCGGUAA
rnacentral:rRNA from 1 species